UGACCCGUAGAUAUCCGAAUGGGGAAACCCACCGUAAGGUAUCCUAUAGCCAAUCCAUAACUAUAGGAAGCGAACCAGGUGAACUGAAACAUCUAAGUAACCUGAGGAAAAGAAAGAAAACUCGAUUCCCUGAGUAGCGGCGAGCGAACGGGGAAGAGCCCAAAGUGUAAAAAGAGACAAUAGCCAGCCAAAUAAUCUGGGAAGAUUAACCAAAGAAGGUAAGAGUCCUGUAGGCGAAAGCGAAGAUAUCCGACACAAAAGAGUACCACGGAACACGAGAAAUUCAGUGGGAACAUGGGGGGACCACCCCCUAAGGCUAAAUACUACUUGGUGACCGAUAGCGAACAAGUACCGUGAGGGAAAGGUGAAAAGAACCCCGAGAGGGGAGUGAAAUAGAAUCUGAAACCUAGUGUUUACAAGCAGCGAAAGUGGCAUACGCCACGAUCGUGUACUUUUUGUAGAACGGGCCAGCGAGUUACGAUUACUAGCAAGGUUAAGCAUUACAGAUGCGGAGCCGAAGCGAAAGCGAGUCUAAAUAGGGCGAAAGUUAGUGGUUGUAGACCCGAAACCGUGUGAUCUAUCCAUGAGCAGAGUGAAGUUGAAGUAAAAUUCAAUGGAGGCUCGAACCGGGUAACGUUUAAAAGUUAUCGGAUGACUUGUGGAUAGGGGUGAAAAGCCAAACGAACACGGAGAUAGCUGGUUCUCCUCGAAAUAGCUUUAGGGCUAGCCUCUAGUAAGACAUGAAAAGGGGGUAGAGCACUGAUUGGUUGCGGGGCAUGCAUAUGUUACCAAAACCUAUCAAACUCCGAAUACCAUAUCAUGCACUAGGGAGUCAGACUAUGUGGGAUGAGCUUCAUAGUCGAAAGGGAAAGAGCCCAGACCAUCAGCUAAGGUCCCAAAAUUAUAGUUAAGUGGGAAAGGAUGUGGAGUUACUGAGACAACUAGGAUGUUGGCUUAGAAGCAGCCACUCAUUUAAAGAGUGCGUAAUAGCUCACUAGUCAAGUGACUCUGCGCCGAAGAUAACCGGGGCUAAACUAUAUACCGAAGCUAUGGAACGAAUAACGUUGGUAGAGGAGCAAUGUAUGAAGGACGAAGCAUAAGCCGUAAGGCAGUGUGGACAUCAUACAAGAGAGAAUGCUGGCAUGAGUAGCGAGAGGUGAGUGAGAAUCUCACCCGUCGAAAACCCAAGGAUUCCUGAGCAAGGCUCGUCCACUCAGGGUAAGUCGGGACCUAAGGCGAGGCUGAAAAGCGUAGUCGAUGGACAACAGGUUGAAAUUCCUGUACCGAUACAAUCGUUAAAGGAAGUGGGGACGCAGGAGGAUAAUAAGAGCGCCCAGUUGGUGAGGCGUGCAAGCGCAAAGUCUGGAGAGUAGGCAAAUCCGCUCUCCGAAAAGGAUGAAGCGUAAUGCGGAUCGAAAACAAGUAGAGAAGCUUAUGACUCCACACUGCCAAGAAAAGCCACUACAAGAGAAGUAUCGCCCGUACCGUAAACCGACACAGGUAGGUGAGGAGAGAAUCCUAAGACGAGCGGAAAAACCUUUGUUAAGGAACUCGGCAAAAUGACCCCGUAACUUCGGGAGAAGGGGAGCCCCUGUAACAGGGGGCCGCAGUGAAAAGGCCCAAGCGACUGUUUACCAAAAACACAAGUUUCUGCUAAGUCGAAAGACGAAGUAUAGGAGCUGACACCUGCCCGGUGCUGGAAGGUUAAGGGAAAAAGUUAGCGCAAGCGAAGCUUAGAACUGAAGCCCCAGUAAACGGCGGCCGUAACUAUAACGGUCCUAAGGUAGCGAAAUUCCUUGUCGGGUAAGUUCCGACCCGCACGAAAGGUGUAACGAUUUGGG
rnacentral:rRNA from 1 species